rnacentral:lncRNA from 1 species
CGACAGAAGAUACACGACAGCGUGAUACACACUUAUAUAUCUAUACUUUCAUAUGCAUAUUUUAUAUACUGAACAAAUUCUUGAACUUUGAAGAAGGUUUGGACAUCACUAAAGGAUGAAGAUCCUCCUCAUCUUCACCCUUUACCUGAUCUCAGGUCCAGUGGGCUGCUUUGAUGUGACUGGCUACGCAGGAGGCAUGGUUUUAAAUACCAGUACAAAGGAUCUGUAAAAAUAUUUUUGUAAAGAGAAAACAGAGCAGUGUAUUUAUGUAACAACAAAGAACCCAUCGGCUCAUAAAGACAGAUUUUCUCUAUAUGCCUUUUCUAAAGUUCUUCAGGUGAUCUACAGAGAUCUGAGUUUAGAAGAUGCUGGAUUAUAUCAGUGUGGAGAGACUGGAGCGUGGAAUCACACUGUAAACCUGAGAGUAAAAACAGAUCCGUGUUGUUUGGGACCAAAGACUGUGAUUGGUUAUCUGGGAGAGACCGUCACCAUCAACUGUUCCUAUCCAGAAGAGUUUCAGACAAACACCAAGACCAUCUACAAACAGAAAAAUCAAUCUUUUACUGCAGUAAUCAGUACCUCAGAUUCUUAGAUAAACAGAUUCUCCAUCUCUGAUAACAGAAGAUCUAGAGUUAUCAGUGUGAGAAUCAGAGAUGUGAGAGAAGAUGAUGGAGGAGUUUAUUACUGUGGAGUGGCGAAAGGAGGAGAUUCAGUGAGUUACUCUACACUCUUCAAAAAGAUUCAGCUACAGAUUAAAGGUGAGAAA